rnacentral:rRNA from 1 species
AGAGUUUGAUUCUGGCUCAGGACGAACGCUGGCGGCGUGCCUAAUACAUGCAAGUAGAACGCUGAAGCUUGGUGCUUGCACCGAGCGGAUGAGUUGCGAACGGGUGAGUAACGCGUAGGUAACCUGCCUGGUAGCGGGGGAUAACUAUUGGAAACGAUAGCUAAUACCGCAUAAAAUGGAUUAUCGCAUGAUAAUCGAUUGAAAGGUGCAAAUGCAUCACUACCAGAUGGACCUGCGUUGUAUUAGCUAGUUGGUGGGGUAACGGCUCACCAAGGCGACGAUACAUAGCCGACCUGAGAGGGUGAUCGGCCACACUGGGACUGAGACACGGCCCAG